CAGAGUAAGUUAAGGCAACUGAAACUGCAGGUUUGGUGUGGUGAUUUUAAGAAUCUCUGUUAGGAUACCUCAGAUGCUGCCUAAGUCAGGAUCCAUAUUUCAGUUUGAAGAAGAAACCCCCUUUUUUUGGCCUUGCUUGUUCUGCAAGCCAACUAUUCUCAGUUACCACCUGAGUUUUCUGACUUUGUUAGCCUUAGCCCCAUACAUAGAUUUUCAUUUGCUGUUGCUAUUUAUACUAUUUCUAUUUAGCCAUUUGCUUUAAUAUGCAUUCUAAUCUUUUUUAAUGAGCUAAUCAAUUUCCUGUUAGAAUUUGUUUGCUAAUUUCUUCCAAAAUAAAUAAUUUAAAUACUUG